UCCGGUUUGCUUCUAGUGAGAGCGACUCAGCGGCGGAAACCUGUUCUGUUUAGGGUUGCAGACACUCUGCUCCGGCGGCCAUGGGGUUCUUGAUGCAGCCGUUCAACAGCAGGACUCUCAUAGAGGAAGUGAACGACAACGACAUACCCCUCGAGCCUCUCCAUUAUCCUGUGGUGUUGCCGCCAGGCGGUGAGUUGCCACCAGCAAGUGCCUCUAGUACGGAUGCGUAGAUCUGUGCGGCGGCGGCGGAGGCAGGGAGUGCAUAUAAGGCGCAAGCAUAUGAACACUCCAUUGAGCAAAUUGAUCCAAAAACUCAUGGCUGGACACGGAGGUAUGCGUUCUGCACUCUCUGCACGAACAUAGACAUGAAUCUAAGAAAUGUUGCGUGUGUAAUUAUAGCACAGCUACAUGUGUGUGCAUUAGUAUAAGAUUAUUAUGAUACGUAUAGCUUAAAUUCCUAUGACUGCAGAGUAUCCAAAUAGAAACUGAAAAAGUCUUAUAGAAUUGAAAACGGUAAAGAGGAUAUAUUUUUUUGAGACUGAAACUUGCAACAUAGAAAAUUGCUGGGCCUCAUGAAUGCUUAAGUGUGGCAUAUGUUCCAGGAAAUGUCCUGAUAAUGCAUGGGAAAAACGAGUAAACGACAGACAUCCGGUAAAUGGAGGUGUUAAUCUGAAUUUUGGAAUCCUCUGUUUUUCAGUACAGUGAACUGAUUGUGCACACUUCUUUUUAAAUUCAGAGUUAGGAUUGGAAGUACAUGCUUCUGCAGUUUGACAGGGAAGCGGAAGAAAACAUCAAGGAGAAGCGGACGAGAAUUGUAAUAAUGUAUCUUUUGAUGGCAAUUAGAAAAGUGUUUUCGCAGGGGAGGCCUCUUCUACGAGCAAACAUGGCUACAGAAAGGCAUGCUGGCAAGAUAUACACCCGAGCAAUGUUCAAGCAGUUUGGGCAUAUAGUUUACAAGUGUGGUGCUUACCGGGUGGAAGAGAUUGAGAAAGGGAAGCUAUAUGUCGCAAUCCAUAUGUAUGCAAGUCGUAGAGAGAAGUGGUGCAGGAUUUCGUACAAGGUGACAGUGUUGAACGGUUGAGAGGAAUUUGACUGUGAAUGUGGCCAUUUUUCUCACAUGGGCUUGCUGUGCAGCCACGCUCUGAAGGUUAUGGACUUUAUCCGAAUAACAGAAAUACCAAAGAAACACAUAGUGAAGAGGUGGACUAGAGACGCCCGGGACAUCCUGGCUCCACCUCUAAACAGUACCAGAAGGACAAUGCUAACAGCAACAACCCAUUUAGUUAUAGGCAUUUCACUAUGUACAUGCACGCAAUGUAGCUUGUACGAAUGGGAGACACCGGUGUUCAGGUUAUGAUCGACUGGUUGCAUUAUUCAAACGAUGUGCUGAAGAAAUGAAACCAUUUCCGGAGAUUAGAGACAGAUUUGGACUGGAGGACCAUAUGGCUGAAAAUGGGGUUGUUGUGAACUAGUUUCAGGCAGAAGGUGACCAAGUAGGAGUGGGAGUCAAAAUGGCGAGGCUAAUGGGGAACGAUGAUGUAAAGUCAACUGUUGAAUCAGGGAAUAUGUUGGCAGGCUUAUUACCUCGAGCCAAGAGGAAGGAAAUAGGAAGGCUUACAAAAACUCAACAAGCAGAGAAAAGGCGACGUACGAAGGGCUGAGUAAGAGAACAAGGUUCUGCAUGAUUUGUCGGCGACAAGGUCACAAGUGGACAACCUGCCCUGAUCGCGGAGACGUGCCAAAACAGAUCGGAAGCCGGGGAGAUGUAAAAAUUGUGGAGUUGAAGGGCAUCGUCGAAAUAACUGCCACGGAGCGGCUGAGCUCAGGAAGAAGAAUUGAUUUGAUUACCGCUUAUGAAGUAGUUCAUUUGUGUUUGUACCUGAAUGUUCAUAAGUUGUCGUGCAUGAAAUAGUUCAGUUGUGUGGUACCUGAAUAAACUGAACCUGUCUGAAUACAGCCUGUGUUGAUGAACUUGCUUUGCCUAGGGAUGUUCGUGUGUUGAUGAACUUAUUUCA